UCCGUAGGCGGUGUGGCAAGUCGGUAGUGAAAUCUCUCGGCUUAACUGAGAGGCUGCUGCCGAAACUGCCAUGCUCGAGUGCGAGAGAGGCGAGUGGAAUUACGGGUGUAGCGGUGAAAUGCGUAGAUAUCCGUAGGGACAUCCGAGGCGAAAGCGGCUCGCUGGAUCGCAACUGACGCUGAGGGACGAAAGCUAGGGGAGCAAACAGGAUUAGAUACCCUGGUAGUCCUAGCCCUAAACCAUCAGGACUUGGGGUUUGCCCUGUACGGGGCAAGUCCCGGAGCUAACGCGUUAAGUCCUGCGCCUGGGGAGUACGGUCGCAAGGCUGAA
rnacentral:rRNA from 1 species